AGGCGGACCAGGCAAACCAGGCGGACCGGGCGGACGCGGCGGAUCAGGAGAUGCAUGCAGCACGAAUCGGAACAGAAGCGAGCGGCGCGGCGGCGUCGCGACUCGCUUAAUAGAACGCGGCGUACGCAGAAAGGAUCAACUCUGGAACGAAUGGCGUUAUGAUUCAUUUAAUUAAGCAAACGAUUUGUCUAACAAUAAAUCGUAUAGUAUCGUAUGUACUAUAAUUCCAUUAUUGCACAUCGUGAGAAUAUAAUCUAAAGAGAUUUGGCAACUUGAAAAUAAAUCAGACUGAAAGAAGGUAUCGGGUCUCAUUGUCAGUGGAGCAACUUUGCGAUUCAUCGUAGCGACUUGUCUGAUAAUUUUACUGUUGCGCAUCGAUCGGUGAGUGAUAAAACAAUUUGUAAAUGAGAUAACAAAAUUGAAAUAUAG